rnacentral:tRNA from 1 species
GGAGCAAUACUCAAGAGGCCGAAGAGGUGUCCCUGCUAAGGACAUAGACUGGGGCGACCUGGUGCGAGAGUUCAAAUCUCUCUUGCUCCGCCA